UACGUAAGUUGCGAGCGUUGUUCGGAAUUAUUGGGCGUAAAGGGCAUGUAGGCGGACUGGCAAGCUUGGUGUGAAAUACCGGGGCUUAACCCCGGAACUGCAUUGAGAACUGCUAAUCUUGAAUUACUGAGGGGCAACUAGAAUUCCAAGUGUAGGGGUGAAAUCUGUAGAUAUUUGGAAGAAUACCAAUGGCGAAGGCAAGUUGCUAUCAGAUAAUUGACGCUGAGGUGCGAAGGUGCGGGGAUCGAAC
rnacentral:rRNA from 1 species